UGAAGCCCUUCGGGGUGGAUUAGUGGCGAACGGGUGAGUAACACGUGGGCAAUCUGCCCUGCACUCUGGGACAAGCCCUGGAAACGGGGUCUAAUACCGGAUAAUACUCUCGCAGGCAUCUGUGAGGGUUAAAAGCUCCGGCGGUGCAGGAUGAGCCCGCGGCCUAUCAGCUUGUUGGUGAGGUAGUGGCUCACCAAGGCGACGACGGGUAGCCGGCCUGAGAGGGCGACCGGCCACACUGGGACUGAGACACGGCCCAGACUCCUACGGGAGGCAGCAGUGGGGAAUAUUGCACAAUGGGCGAAAGCCUGAUGCAGCGACGCCGCGUGAGGGAUGACGGCCUUCGGGUUGUAAACCUCUUUCAGCAGGGAAGAAGCGAAAGUGACGGUACCUGCAGAAGAAGCGCCGGCUAACUACGUGCCAGCAGCCGCGGUAA
rnacentral:rRNA from 1 species